CCUACGGGUGGCAGCAGUGGGGAAUAUUUCGCAAUGGGCGAAAGCCUGACGCAGCGACGCCGCGUGAGGGAUGAAGGUCUUCGGAUCGUAAACCUCUGUCAGUAGGGAAGCACGGUCACUGUGCUAAUCAGCAGUGAAUUGACGGUACCUGCAAAGGAAGCACAGGCUAACUCCGUGCCAGCAGCCGCGGUAAUACGGAGGGUGCGAGCGUUAAUCGGAAUUACUGGGCGUAAAGCGCUCGUAGGCGGUAUGUCAAGUCAAGGGUGAAAUCCCCGGGCUCAACGUGGGAACUGCCUUUGAAACUGGCAGACUGGAGUGUGUGAGAGGGUAGUGGAAUGCCAGGUGUAGGAGUGAAAUCCGUAGAGAUCUGGAGGAACACCAGUGGCGAAGGCGACUAACUGGCACAUAACUGACGCUGAGGAGCGAAAGCGUGGGGAGCAAACAGGAUUAGAUACCCCUGUAGUC
rnacentral:rRNA from 1 species